UACGGGAGGCAGCAGUGGGGAAUAUUGGGCAAUGGGCGAAAGCCUGACCCAGCAACGCCGCAUGAANGAAGAAGGUCUUCGGAUUGUAAACUUCUUUUAUGAGGGACGAANGACGAGACGGUACCUCNUGAAUAAUCCACGGCUAACUACGUGCCAGCACCCGCGGUAAU
rnacentral:rRNA from 1 species